rnacentral:rRNA from 1 species
AGGGUUUGAUCCUGGCUCAGGGUGAACGCUGGCGGCGUGCCUAACACAUGCAAGUCGAUCGGAGCAGCAAUGCUUAGAGGCGAACGGGUGAGGAAAACGUAGUAACCAACCCUUUAGACUGGGAUAGCCACUGGAAACGGUGGGUAAUACCGGAUAAGCUCGAGAGAGGAAAGGCAGAGAAGCGCUAAAGGACGGAACUGCGCCCCAUCAGAUAGUUGGUGAGGUAAAGGCUUACCAAGUCAAAGACGGGAAACCGACGUGAGAGCGUGUACGGUCACAAGGGCACUGAGAGACGGGCCCUACUCCUACGGGAGGCAGCAGUGGGGAAUAUUGGACAAUGGACGAAAGUCUGAUCCAGCGACGCCGCGUGGAGGAAGAAGUCCUUCGGGAUGUAAACUCAUGAAGCUAACGAAUAAGACGGAAGGGGAACCUUCCGGGAGAAGGUAAUUAGUGAAAAGCCCCGGCUAACUACGUGCCAGCAGCCGCGGUAAUACGUAGGGGGCGAGCGUUGCCCGGAAUUACUGGGCGUAAAGGGAACGUAGGUGGCUCUUAAAGUCAGGUGUGAAAAUAACGAAGCUUAACAGGUUAAUGCGCUUGAAACUAAAGGGCUUGAGGGCAAUAGAGAGAGAGAGAGAGAGAGAAGCCGAUCUCCUGGGUUGACUCUGACACUGAGGUUCGAAAGCUAGGGGAGCAAACCGGAUUAGAUACCCGGGUAGUCCUAGCCGUAAACGAUGCUCACUGGGUGUGGGUCGAAAAGAUCUGUGCUGAAGCUAACGCGAUAAGUGAGCCGCCUGGGGAGUACGUCCGCAAGGAUGAGACUCAAAGGAAUUGACGGGGGUCCGCACAAGCGGUGGAGCAUGUGGUUUAAUUCGAUGCUAACCGAAGAACCUUACCAGGGUUGGACAUUGUGAUGGUAGUUGGUAGAGAUAUCAGCGACUUCUGCGAAUGCAGGAGAGUUACAAUCAGGUGGUGCACGGUCGUCGUCAGCUCGUGCCGUGAGGUGUUGGGUUAAGUCCCGCAACGAGCGCAACCCUUGCCGUUAGUUGCCAGCACGUAGAGGUGGGAACUCUAACGGGACAGCCGUCGACGAGACGGAGGAAGGAGAGGAUGACGUCAGAUAAUCGUGCCCCUUAUGCUCUGGGCGACACACGUGCUACAAUGGUAUGGACAGACGGCAGCAAAACCGAGAGGUCAAGCGAAUCCGAGAAACCAUACCUCAAUUCGGAUUGUAGUCUGAAACCCGACUACAUGAAACUGGAAUCGCUAGUAAUCGCAGGUCAGCCAAACUGCGGUGAAUACGUUCCCGGGCCUUGUACACACCGCCCGUCACGCCACCCGAGUUGGAGACGCCCGAAGAUGGUGCCGUUAACCGCAAGGAGACAAACUAUCGAGGGUGGAGCUAGUGAGGGGGGCGAAGUCGUAACAAGGUAGGUGUACCGGAAGGUGCGCCUG